UGGGGAAUUUUGGACAAUGGGCGAAAGCCUGAUCCAGCAAUGCCGCGUGUGUGAAGAAGGCCUUCGGGUUGUAAAGCACUUUUGUCCGGAAAGAAAUCCUCUGGGUUAAUACCUCGGGGGGAUGACGGUACCGGAAGAAUAAGCACCGGCUAACUACGUGCCAGCAGCCGCGGUAAUACGUAGGGUGCAAGCGUUAAUCGGAAUUACUGGGCGUAAAGCGUGCGCAGGCGGUUUUGUAAGACGGAUGUGAAAUCCCCGGGCUUAACCUGGGAACUGCAUUCGUGACUGCAAGGCUAGAGUAUGGCAGAGGGGGGUAGAAUUCCACGUGUAGCAGUGAAAUGCGUAGAGAUGUGGAGGAAUACCGAUGGCGAAGGCAGCCCCCUGGGCCAAUACUGACGCUCAUGCACGAAAGCGUGGGGAGCAAACAGG
rnacentral:rRNA from 1 species